AGGGAAUAGAUACCCCGGGUAGUCCACGCUGUAAACGAUGAGUGCUGGACGUUGGCGGGUUUACCUGCCGGUGUCGCAGCUAAACGCGUUAAGCACUCCGCCUGGGGAGUACGGCCGCAAGGUUAAAACUCAAAGGAAUUGACGGGGGCCCGCACAAGCGGUGGAGCAUGUGGUUUAAUUCGACGCAACGCGCAGAACCUUACCAGCCCUUGACAUGGGCGGACGGGGUCCAGAGAUGGACUCUUUCUCGCAAGAGACCGCUACACAGGUGCUGCAUGGCUGUCGUCAGCUCGUGUCGUGAGA
rnacentral:rRNA from 1 species